rnacentral:tRNA from 1 species
UCCCUGAUAGCUCAGUCGGUAGAGCGACGGACUGUUAAUCCGCAGGUCGCAGGUUCG